UCUUGACUAGUAUAUCUGUUAGUACACGCGCUUGUCAUCUUCCGUGCUCCUUCCUUUGUAUCGCGCGAAAGCUGGGUUCGACUCCCAGGUCGAGAG